rnacentral:snRNA from 1 species
AGCUUUGCGCAGUGGCAGUAUCGUAGCCAAUGAGGUGUACCCGAGACGCGAUUAUUGCUAAUUGAAAACUUUUCCCAAUACCCCGCCGUGACGACUUGAAAUAUAGUCGGCAUUGGCAAUUUUUGACGGUCUCCACGGAGA